rnacentral:rRNA from 1 species
AUUGAACGCUGGCGGCAUGCCUUACACAUGCAAGUCGAACGGUAACAGGUCUUCGGAUGCUGACGAGUGGCGAACGGGUGAGUAAUACAUCGGAACGUGCCUAGUAGUGGGGGAUAACUACUCGAAAGAGUGGCUAAUACCGCAUGAGAUCUACGGAUGAAAGCAGGGGAUCGCAAGACCUUGUGCUACUAGAGCGGCCGAUGGCAGAUUAGGUAGGUGGUGGGAUAAAAGCUUACCAAGCCGACGAUCUGUAGCUGGUCUGAGAGGAUGAUCAGCCACACUGGGAGUGAGACACGGCCCAGACUCCUACGGGAGGCAGCAGUGGGGAAUUUUGGACAAUGGGCGCAAGCCUGAUCCAGCAAUGCCGCGUGCAGGAUGAAGGCCUUCGGGUUGUAAACUGCUUUUGUACGGAACGAAAAGCCCUGGGUUAAUACCCUGGGGUCAUGACGGUACCGUAAGAAUAAGCACCGGCUAACUACGUGCCAGCAGCCGCAGUAACAC